GACGAACGCUGGCGGCGUGCCUAAUACAUGCAAGUCGAGCGAACGGACGAGAACCUUGCUUCUCUGAUGUUAGCGGCGGACGGGUGAGUAACACGUGGAUAACCUACCUAUAAGACUGGGAUAACUUCGGGAAACCGGAGCUAAUACCGGAUAAUAUUUUGAACCGCAUGGUUCAAAAGUGAAAGACGGUCUUGCUGUCACUUAUAGAUGGAUCCGCGCUGCAUUAGCUAGUUGGUAAGGUAACGGCUUACCAAGGCAACGAUGCAUAGCCGACCUGAGAGGGUGAUCGGCCACACUGGAACUGAGACACGGUCCAGACUCCUACGGGAGGCAGCAGUAGGGAAUCUUCCGCAAUGGGCGAAAGCCUGACGGAGCAACGCCGCGUGAGUGAUGAAGGUCUUCGGAUCGUAAAACUCUGUUAUUAGGGAAGAACAUAUGUGUAAGUAACUGUGCACAUCUUGACGGUACCUAAUCAGAAAGCCACGGCUAACUACGUGCCAGCAGCCGCGGUAAUACGUAGGUGGGCAGCGUUAUCCGGAAUUAUUGGGCGUAAAGCGCGCGUAGCGGUUUUUUAAGUCUGAUGUGAAAGCCCACGGCUCAACCGUGGAGGGUCAUUGGAAACUGGAAAACUUGAGUGCAGAAGAGGAAAGUGGAAUUCCAUGUGUAGCGGUGAAAUGCGCAGAGAUAUGGAGGAACACCAGUGGCGAAGGCGACUUUCUGGUCUGUAACUGACGCUGAUGUGCGAAAGCGUGGGGAUCAAACAGGAUUAGAUACCCUGGUAGUCCACGCCGUAAACGAUGAGUGCUAAGUGUUAGGGGGUUUCCGCCCCUUAGUGCUGCAGCUAACGCAUUAAGCACUCCGCCUGGGGAGUACGACCGCAAGGUUGAAACUCAAAGGAAUUGACGGGGACCCGCACAAGCGGUGGAGCAUGUGGUUUAAUUCGAAGCAACGCGAAGAACCUUACCAAAUCUUGACAUCCUUUGACAACUCUAGAGAUAGAGCCUCCCCCUUCGGGGGACAAAGUGACAGGUGGUGCAUGGUUGUCGUCAGCUCGUGUCGUGAGAUGUUGGGUUAAGUCCCGCAACGAGCGCAACCCUUAAGCUUAGUUGCCAUCAUUAAGUUGGGCACUCUAAGUUGACUGCCGGUGACAAACCGGAGGAAGGUGGGGAUGACGUCAAAUCAUCAUGCCCCUUAUGAUUUGGGCUACACACGUGCUACAAUGGACAAUACAAAGGGCAGCGAAACCGCGAGGUCAAGCAAAUCCCAUAAAGUUGUUCUCAGUUCGGAUUGUAGUCUGCAACUCGACUACAUGAAGCUGGAAUCGCUAGUAAUCGUAGAUCAGCAUGCUACGGUGAAUACGUUCCCGGGUCU
rnacentral:rRNA from 1 species